UACGUAGGGUGCGAGCGUUAAUCGGAACUACUGGGCGUAAAGAGUGCGUAGGCGGUUCUUUGUGUCCGCUGUGAAAGCCCCGGGCUUAACCUGGGAAUGGCAUUUGGGACUGCAAGGCUCGAGUGCGGCAGAGGAGACUGGAAUUCCUGGUGUAGCAGUGAAAUGCGUAGAUAUCAGGAGGAACACCGAUGGCGAAGGCAGGUCUCUGGGCUGACACUGACGCUCAUGCACGAAAGCGUGGGGAGCAAACAGG
rnacentral:rRNA from 1 species